ensembl:lncRNA
AUAUUAACAUUUACAUUUAGUCAUUUAGCAGAGCUUUUAUCAAAAGCGACUUACAAAUGAGGACAAUGGAAGCAAUCAAAAUCAACAAAAGAGCAUUGGUAUGCAAGUGCUAUAGCUUCCCAUUUAUUUUCUAUGGGUGCCCCAUUUUUGGGCACGAAUAACAAAUUUAGGAGUUUCUUUUCAACCACUUAAUUUUGUUGAAUCGAGUCUCUUUUUUGUGCGUGUUCAGGUGGCAAACUUACGAAAAGUAGCCAAGUCUUAGCUUAGGAAACUAUUUUAAAAAAUAAAUAAUGAUUUUGCCCAAAUUUGUCCCGCAUUAUGAAUGAGGGUUAAAUCGGAACAUUUGGGGUGAGGAAAGAAAUUUGGAUUAACUGUAAAAUAAUUAAGAAUAAAACAUGUUUUGUGAUUAUGAUAAACAUAAUAAAUGAGGGGGAAAAAGUUAAGAAUUGAAUUCCUGCCGCUAGUUGUGUUGUGUGUAAAGCACCUUGGAAAGACCUGCCUACCGGGAUUAGACACAGCGCUAUUUUGGGGCUCUUGUCACAUUGCUCGUCAGAUUCAUAGCGCUGCUGGGCUGGGUCACGCUGCUAGGACUCGACACAAAUAAACACCAAGAAAGAGCCUUGAAACCGGGUUAAUUUAAAAAGUUUCAUAGUUGGUCACUUCAUUAGCGUUUCUGCUUUGACAUACCUCUGGAAGUUACCGAGUGUAAAUACUUUGGCGUUUGCGAGAGACACGACGCUUCUGAAACUUUUGCGUGCGGAACGACGUUGAAAGACGAAAUGGGCGAGAAUGAUAUUCAAAUGGAGAGUACAGAGCAAAUGCAGGAGCCUCACGCUUCAACCUCGGACAAAAUCGACUUGUCAUUAGACGACAUUAUAAAGCUGAAUAAGAAGGAACAGAAGGCAAACAGAGCUGCCAACAGAGCUAAAACUAAACGUGCUGUUAACAGGAACAACGUCUUGAAGAAACUCCACCAGGUUCCGCAGCAACAGAGGGGACUCAGACGAGGAGCGCAGCAGUACCAAGGGCCUGGCAGGGUGAGAGGUUUAAGGAGACAAAGAGGAUCUGGGAGGGGCAUGAUUUCGAGAAGGGAUUCACUAAAUAGAGCUGCUGCUGCUGCCACGACUGGUGAGCAGUUUGAUCAGAGCACAUUCACAUCGAGGGGAACAUUCAGAGGACGGGGAAGAGGUAGAGGAAGAGGAGGCGGACUGAGCAGGGGUGCAUUCUCAACAAGAGGACAAAGGGGUGGAAGACCAUUUGUAUUAGACAGAGGGUUUGCCGCUACAAAAAGAGCUGAGAAACUACAAAAGUAUCAGACAAUAAGAAGGAAGACGUCUAAUCAGACUAGGAGGGGUGGGGCAGUGUUAAGAGGCAGAUCAUCUAGAGGAGCCAGUACUUCUUCACUUCAGGGGAUUCAUCUGCAAUUUAACUACAAAGCAACUACUAACCAGACUGCCGUAUACCUUAAUGACCGUUUCACUGACCUGAGGUUAAGAGGCCAAGGACGAGGCCGGGGAAGAGGAAGAGGAGCUGUUGGAGAAGGUGGAAGAGGUGGAGGAAGAGGAAACAUUGUUGGGGGUGGACAAGGUAGAGGACAAGGAAACAUUGGUGGUGUAAGAGGCAGAGGAAGAGGAAACUUUAUGAGGGGUGGCAGAGACAGAGGCAGAGGAAGAGGAAACUUUAUGAGGGGUGGCAGAGACAGAGGAAGAGGAAACAUUAUGGGGGGUGGCAGAGGAAGAGGGGGGGUUGGUGUGACAAGAGGAGGAAGAGGCUUGAGAAGAGGGAGGGGAGGAUCAAGAGGAGCCGAUCGAACAGUAACUCUUCAGUGAUUAGAAUUACAUCCAUUCAAUUUUAUGAAGUAAUAGUAUUUACUGAAAAAUUCAUUUUUGGUAAAAAAAAAAUUUAUUUUGGUGCAUCACUGUUUACUGUAAUAAUGUCGUUCAACUUAAUAUCUGUAACAUUUCUGACAGCGGGAUAAGGGGUUUUUAUUGCUGUGUACAAACAAAAAAAAAUGUCCUUUUUAAAAGCAAAUGUAAAUUAUUGAUUGUUAUAUGAUGAAGGUUUUUACAUUUUUAGGUUAUGAAAAAAUAAAAUGUUAAAAAGUACCUCA